rnacentral:rRNA from 1 species
UACGGAGGUGGCAAGCGUUGCUCGGAAUCACUGGGCGUAAAGGGCUCGUAGGUGGCCAACUAAGUCAGACGUGAAAUCCCUCGGCUUAACCGGGGAACUGCGUCUGAUACUGGAUGGCUUGAGUUCGGGAGAGGGAUGCGGAAUUCCAGGUGUAGCGGUGAAAUUCGUAGAUAUCGGGAGGAACACCAGUGGCGAAGGCGGCGAUCUGGGAAGAUACUGACGCUGAGGUGCGAAAGCGUGGGGAGCAAACAGG